rnacentral:rRNA from 1 species
AGAAUGCUGGCAUGAGUAUGCGAAAAUGCAGGUGAAAAACCUGCACACCGUAAGUCUAAGGUUUCCUGGGUAAAGCUAAUCUUCCCAGGGUUAGUCGGGUCCUAAGGCGAGGCCGAGAGGCGUAGUCGAUGGCAAUCGGGUUAAUAAUCCCGAACCGCAAAUAACGCGUUAUUACCGAUGGGGUGACGCAUGGAGCAGAAUUUAGCCACUGAUGGAUGUGGCGGAUUGCGCGUAAGAUGUACAGGUGGCAAAUCCCCUGUACGCAUAUCUGAGACGCAGGACCUUUUGAGGGCUUCGGCCCAAAGAAGAGUAAUUCCGGUCUGUGCCAGGAAAAACCUCUAAGGGAGUUUUAUUUGUGCCCGUACCGUAAACCGACACAGGUAGACGAGGCGAAUAGCCUAAGGUGCUCGAGACAACUCGGGAGAAGGAACUCUGCAAAUUAACCCCGUAACUUCGGGAUAAGGGGAGCCUCCAUUUGUUAGUGUGAACAGCACAAAGCAUAAGGAGGCCGCAGAGAAAUGGCAGAAGCGACUGUUUACCAAAAACACAGGGCUAUGCAAACCCGUAAGGGAAAGUAUAUAGUCUGACACGUGCCCGGUGCUGGAAGGUUAACAGGAGAUGUCAGCGCAAGCGAAGCAUUGAAUCGAAGCCCCAGUAAACGGCGGCCGUAACUAUAACGGUCCUAAGGUAGCGAAAUUCCUUGUCGGGUAAGUUCCGACCUGCACGAAUCGUGUAACGACUUCUGCACUGUCUCCUCCCGGGACUCGGCGAAAUUGCAGUGUCGGUGAAGAUGCCGACAACCCGCACCUGGACGGAAAGACCCCAUGAACCUUCACUGUAUUUUGACAUUGGUUUUAGGCUUGACAUGUGUAGGAUAGGUGGGAGGCUUUGAAGCGGUGACGCCAGUCAUCGUGGAGCCAUCCUUGAAAUACCACCCUUGUCCGGUUUGAGAUCUAACCGUGGCCCGUCAUCCGGGUCCGGGACCGUGUCUGAUGGUCAGUUUGACUGGGGCGGUCGCCUCCUAAAUGGUAACGGAGGCAUCCAAUGGUUCCCUCAGCGCGGUCGGUAAUCGCGCGUAGAGCAUAAAGGCAUAAGGGAGCUUGACUGCGAGACAGACAUGUCGAGCAGGUACGAAAGUAGGGCUUAGUGAUCCCGCGGUACAGCGUGGAACGGCCGUUGCUCAAUGGAUAAAAGGUACUCUGGGGAUAACAGGCUGAUCUCCCCCAAGCGUUCAUAGCGACGGGGAGGUUUGGCACCUCGAUGUCGGCUCGUCGCAUCCUGGGGCUGGAGAAGGUCCCAAGGGUUUGGCUGUUCGCCAAUUAAAGCGGCACGCGAGCUGGGUUCAGAACGUCGUGAGACAGUUCGGUCCCUAUCCGGUGUGGGCGCACGAAAUUUGAGGGAACCUGUCCUUAGUACGAGAGGACCGGGACGGACGCACCUCUGGUGUACCGGCUGUCACGCCAGUGGCAUUGCCGGGUAGCUAUGUGCGGAUUGGAGAAACGCUGAAAGCAUCUAAGCGUGAAGCCAUUCCCAAGAUUAGAUUUCGCGGGGGCAACCCCCUAAAGGAUCGUUAGAGACCAUAACGUUGAUAGGUCACAGGUGUAAGCAUAGCGAUAUGUUGAGCCGAGUGAUACUAAUAGUCCGUGAGGCUUUC